AUACCCAGCAGGCUGUUGGAGCAGAAGGGAAGCAGCUAUCAGAGCACUCCAGGAAGGUCAUGGAACAUGUACGGGAUGUGGCUGCAACAUCAGCAAAAGACAAGACAGAGAAUCUUGGAUCAACCACUGUGCCCAGGAGGACUCUCGAGCAGGUGGAACCUGAAGGAAGAAGAAUCAGAACUUUUAGGAGAGUGUUCCCCCCAGAGUCCUUUACGUUCAGUGUCUCCAAGUCUGAGCAGCAAAAUAGGUCAACUUCUGAAAGAAGCUCCAGCUUCUCAGGGGAGCAGCAGUAGCCCUCCUGCUGAUGCACAGCCUGUGGAGCAAGGGGUGUCCCUGCUGCAGUCACAGCUGGCCCGAGACCGACAGCACCACCUGGAGAGCUGUGCAGGGAGCAGGCACGAGACACUCCCGUUGAGUCACAGGGAGCAGAAGGGAUCUCCUUGCUUCCUAAACUUCUCAGAGAGGAGCCAUGGAGCAGCUGGAUGUAGUAUUAGCCUUAGAUUUUGUCACUAGUUUAUGUUUAAAGCAUAGUUAUAGGUGUAAGUGAACCUUUAUACAACUGUGUUUCAUAGGAUGUAGGAUGUAUUUAUAGACAAAUAAAGAGUUUGUUAUGAUCAUGAUUAAACUAAAAGAUCUUUAUUGGAAUUACUUACUACCCAGUACACGGAACUAUAACUUCCAGUGUAGUGUGUUACAUUUGAUGCAACUUUGAAUCAAUUCUAUUCAAGCCAGCAAAACCAAUUCUUAAUUAGAGAUUGAGCACCCAAACCAAUGAUCAUGGGCAAAGAUUUCUCUCAGCCUCAAGGAGUGACACUGAGGGACAUGAUCACUCCAGGGAGGAAUCUGCAGAAAGGAGACAUGUGCCAUAAUCCACUUUGGUGAGGGCAGGAGACUCCUGCCAUGUGUGGAGCUUUUUCAUUUGUCCUUAGGAAACUGCAACCUGUUUUAGUCUGAGAGUCACAGAAUCUCAGGCUGGGUGAGGUUGGAGGUACUUCUGGAGGUCACCUUGCACAGCCCCUGCCCCAUCAGGACCACCCAGAGACAGCUGCCCAGGAUGUGUCCAGGUGGCUUUUGAGUCACCUGCUGCAUCACCUCCCUGGGCACCUGCACCAGUGCUCAGCCACCCUCCCAGUGCAGAAGUGUCUCCUGAGCUCACAGGGCCCCUCCUGUGUGUCACUUUGUGCCCGUGGCCCCUGGGGCUGUCCCUGACCCCAUCCCCUCUGCAGCCCCACCCUGGGUAUUUAUCCCCAGGGAUGAGAUGCCCUGAGCGUGCUGUGCUCCAGGCUGGGCAGUCCCAGCUCUCUCAGCCUCUCCUCAUGGCAGAGAUGCUCCAGC